GUGAUACUACUGAAUGCCAUGGUGUUACCAGACAAGUCUUUAGCUGGAAGCUGCAAGAACCAGAUCAUCCUAUAGAAGUACCCAUGACAAUCUCCCAGCAUGCACUGCCAAGGUCCCUCCCAGCAUGCAACACCAAUCUCAUGAUUCCAUUUUCAAUGAAUUGUGUUUUUGAUAUAUUUUGAGCCUUAAAAUUUCAUAUGUUUUCCUUAUUAUUCAUUGAUAUAUAUAUUUGAAAAAGAAUUGUUUAUUUAUAUUACACAAUCCAAGAUAACAUAUGUACUUUAUAAUUCUAAUAUGCUUUAUGACAUGCUUAUACAUAUACAUUAUUUAACAUUGAGAAUGUUGAAAAGGUUACCCCAUAUACAUGUAUAUAUGCACCACUGUUGAAAACAUUCUCAUUUAUCUCAUGUACAAAUGAAGCAUAAUUCCUUGAUCUAAUAAAAAAAGACGAC
rnacentral:misc_RNA from 1 species